CCCGAGACUAGAGUCACAUCUCCACAUGUUUGGUUGUCUUGGUGUGCUAUAGUUCUCGGACAGGAACACCUGAUCCAUAUUCACUGGCUCUGAUGUCUUGUGUCUCAGCCAGCCACCGAAUCAGGGACACUG
ensembl:snoRNA